CGUAGGGUGCGAGCGUUAAUCGGAAUUACUGGGCGUAAAGCGUGCGCAGGCGAUUUUGUAAGACAGAUGUGAAAUCCCCGGGCUCAACCUGGGACCUGCAUUUGUGACUGCAAGGCUAGAGUACGGUAGAGGGGGAUGGAAUUCCGUGUGUAGCAGUGAAAUGCGUAGAUAUGCGGAGGAACACCGAUGGCGAAGGCAAUCCCCUGGACCUGUACUGACGCUCAUGCACGAAAGCGUGGGGAGCAAACAGGAUUAGAUACCCUGGUAGUCCACGCCCUAAAUGAUGUCAACUGGUUGUUGGGUCUUUACUGACUCAGUAACGAAGCUAACGCGUGAAGUUGACCGCCUGGGGAGUACGGCCGCAAGGUUG
rnacentral:rRNA from 1 species